UACGUAGGGUGCGAGCGUUGUCCGGAAUUAUUGGGCGUAAAGAGCUUGUAGGCGGUUUGUCGCGUCUGCUGUGAAAAUCCGGGGCUCAACUCCGGACUUGCAGUGGGUACGGGCAGGCUAGAGUACUAAAGAGGGUCGCGGAAUUCCCGGUGUAGAGGUGAAAUUCGUAGAUAUCGGGAGGAACACCGGUGGCGAAGGCGGCGACCUGGGUAGAUACUGACGCUGAGGUGCGAAAGCGUGGGGAGCAAACAGGG
rnacentral:rRNA from 1 species